UACGAAGGGGGCUAGCGUUGCUCGGAAUUACUGGGCGUAAAGAGCGUGUAGGCGGCCCGGUAAGUCCGCUGUGAAAGUCAAAGGCUCAACCUUUGAAUGUCAGCGGAUACUGCCGGGCUAGAGUCCGGAAGAGGCGAGUGGAAUUCCUGGUGUAGCGGUGGAAUGCGCAGAUAUCAGGAGGAACACCAACGGCGAAGGCAGCUCGCUGGGACGGUACUGACGCUGAGACGCGAAAGCGUGGGGAGCGAACAGG
rnacentral:rRNA from 1 species